AAGAAGCCGAAGGGCGAGGAAAUUGGCCGUGUAUCGAGAUUGUAUUCUGAAAUUAAAGGGAAGCAGUAGAUCAUAUAAUGUUGCAAGUCACAUGACCUGACCGAUUACAACGUACGUACAUGACAGGCAACCAUUGCUUUCAUGCCGCCAUGGUUGUCUCCUUUUUGGUGUUUGUUUGCACAUGGCGAAUAGACACACACAGAGACCUUUAUCAUUUUGGUUCCCUAUCUGAAAUGUUGCUACAAUUUUGCUUGUAAGAGAAAUGAGUUUCUUACUACUUGUAUUCGAUCAUUAACUAUACCCCGGCCGGCCACUUAUAUGCUAAAAAUCAAUAUAUAGCAACGUAAAUAGUUCCUAAUUCA